UGGGGAAUAUUGGACAAUGGGGGCAACCCUGAUCCAGCGAUGCCGCGUGAGUGAAGAAGGCCUUCGGGUCGUAAAGCUCUUUAGGUUGGGAAGCGGUACUGCAGAAUAAGCACCGGCAAACUCUGUGCCAGCAGCCGCGGUAAUACAGAGGGUGCGAGCGUUAAUCGGAGUUACUGGGCGUAAAGGGCGCGUAGGCGGUAAGAAGAGUGUGAUGUGAAAGCCCUGGGCUUAACCUGGGAAGUGCAUCGCAAACGUUCUAACUGGAGUAGAUGAGAGGGUGGCGGAAUUUCCGGUGUAGCGGUGAAAUGCGUAGAGAUCGGAAGGAACGUCGAUGGCGAAGGCAGCCACCUGGCAUCAGACUGACGCUGAGGCGCGAAAGCGUGGGGAGCGAACAGGAUUAGAUACCCUUGUAGU
rnacentral:rRNA from 1 species